CUCGAGGCAAGAACACUGGGAGUGGACAGCCAUUCCCUUCUCCAGAGGAUCUUCCUGACCCAGGGAUCAAACCUGGGUCUCCUGCAUUGCAGGCAGAUUCUUUCCCAUCUGAGCCACUAUUUUCUUGUAUGUCAAUGUCAAUUUCUUGGUCCCUGACAAAUUCGCUGGCAGUGCAGAAAUCAGUGUCGGAGCAUAGACUCUAGGCAUCUUCCUGACCCAGGGAUCGAACUUGUAUCUCUUAUGGCUCCUGCAUUGGCAGGUGGGUUCUUUGCCACUAACACGACUUGGUACUUGUGUCUGACUCUUUGUACACACACACACACACACACACACACACACACACACACACACACACACACAGAGUCUUAAGUGCUUUAGUUGUAUUAACUCAUUUAAUUCUUCAAUAUGAUUCAGGAGGCAAGAACUGUAAUCUCUUUUGCAGAUAAGGAUGCUGAAGCAGAGAGAGAUUAAGAAACUUGUCCUGGUAGUAGUUAGGAAUUACACUCAAGCAUUCCUGCAUCCAAGGCUGCAUGCUUAGACACUGUGCUAUAUUGCCUCUAUGUUAUGUUAGGAAGAAAAUCUAAUUUUAAUGAAACAGAAUAAAUAAUUUUACAUAGGAAAAUAAAAAUUGCCAUUAUCACAAGAAAAUGUUUCAGGAUGAAUUUGAAGACUGUACUUGAAUGAGAUAGAACUGUACAUAUUUGCCUGGAGGAAAGUCUCUGAUAUAUUAUAAUUGAGAAAACCAGACUUUAGAAUAACUGAAUGUUAUGGUUCCUUGUGAAUAAGAAGAAAAUAAUAGCAGGCUCAUACAAGUUGAACCCUUUUUCUCCACAUGUUUUUCCAGCUUACAAAACGUGUACACAUAGGCUGGGCUGUAAAUAUCAGUUAUGACUCAGGAGGGGUUUAAGUAGGGAAGUAAGCUUAUUAAUUUUCCUUUGUUGCAUUAUUUCAUGCUUUCAGUGGGAAGCAUGUCACUCUCUUAAUAUCUGAAGAUGAAUUUAAUAAGGAAAAAUUAUUGAAGAUGAAUGCAAUAAAGUUGUAGUGAGAAAUUCCAGAGACGGUGACUUGCCAAAUCACACCUGGUAGGCAAAGUUGACUUAGUUCAGAGCAGUUUCCAUGGAACCCUCAUAUUAGGAGUGGCAGUUUCAUUCUUCAGGAUUGUGGAAAAGGAGGAAAGUGUGGGCUAAGGCUGGCGGGUCAGGCCUAGUGGCAGACACUAUAC
ensembl:lncRNA